AGCCAUGUGGGAAUGAUCCCUAAAGACUCCCCAAGGGAAGGGCACUGUAUGGCAAUCAAGAGGUCUAUUUGUGAUCAACUUUCUGGAAAGCAUCAGGUGGCAAUGAAAAUUUACUUCAUUUGUCUGGUCACUAAUGCAAAAAUGGAAAACAACAACUGUUUCAAGAAAAGAAAAGAUCUACCUGAGAAAUGUCCUGAGAGUAAUGAAGAAAAACAAAGGCCUCGAAGUCAGUAAACACCAGGUAAAUUUUAACUCACCGGAAGCAGGUUAUUAGGAGCUCCAUCUCACAAGAUCCCUGCAGAGAUAUAAAGGCAACAGGAACUGCUGUUGCCGGGAGAGAGGGGCCCCAGGACUGGGAGGUCCCAACCUGAGCCCCUCCAGAGCCCUCAAUCCACUAACUGGGUACAAUCCCAAGUGACCGCCUCCCCGGCUAUGGACAAUACCGAUUGGCUACAGCUUUGCGUGUCUUGGCAAACUGUCCAAUCAGGACUGCGGUUGGCUAGACAGCGUAUUCGCGGAAGGCCUAGACGUCACAGUCAUAGCCAGCCAGUGCUGCUGACAGGGUCCUAGAUUGU
rnacentral:lncRNA from 1 species